GAUGAACGCUGGCGGCGUGCCUAAUACAUGCAAGUCGAACGAAUCUUCUUCGGAAGAUGAGUGGCGAACGGGUGAGUAAUACAUAGGUAACCUGCCCCUGUGCGGGGGAUAACAGGAGGAAACUCCUGCUAAUACCGCAUAGCCAUGAGCACCGCAUGGAGCUCAUGCCAAAUAUCCUUUACGGGAUAGCGCAGGGAUGGACCUAUGGCGCAUUAGCUAGUUGGCGGGGCAACGGCCCACCAAGGCAACGAUGCGUAGCCGGCCUGAGAGGGCGGACGGCCACAUUGGGACUGAGACACGGCCCAGACUCCUACGGGAGGCAGCAGUAGGGAAUUUUCGGCAAUGGGGGAAACCCUGACCGAGCAACGCCGCGUGAGCGAAGAAGGCCUUCGGGUCGUAAAGCUCUGUUGUAAAGGAAGAACGUCGGACACAGGAAAUGGUGUGCGAGUGACGGUACUUUACCAGAAAGCCACGGCUAACUACGUGCCAGCAGCCGCGGUAAUACGUAGGUGGCGAGCGUUAUCCGGAAUCAUUGGGCGUAAAGAGGGAGCAGGCGGCCGCAAGGGUCUGUGGUGAAAGACCGAAGCUAAACUUCGGUGAGCCAUGGAAACCGGGCGGCUAGAGUGCGGAAGAGGAUCGUGGAAUUCCAUGUGUAGCGGUGAAAUGCGUAGAUAUAUGGAGGAACACCAGUGGCGAAGGCGACGGUCUGGGCCGCAACUGACGCUCAUUCCCGAAAGCGCGGGGAGCAAAUAGGAUUAGAUACCCUAGUAGUCCACGCCGUAA
rnacentral:rRNA from 1 species